CCUACGUGAGGCAGCAGUGGGGGAUAUUGCACAAUGGGGGAAACCCUGAUGCAGCGACGCCGCGUGUGGGAAGACGGUCCUCUGGAUUGUAAACCACUGUCCCCAGGGACGAAGAUGACGGUACCUGGGGAGGAAGCUCCGGCUAACUACGUGCCCGCAGCCGCGGUAAUACGUAGGGAGCGAGCGUUGUCCGGAAUUACUGGGUGGAAAGGGAGCGUAGGCGGGGAUGCAAGUUGGGGGUCAAAACUACCGGCUCAACUGGUAGUCGCACUCAAAACUGCAGCUCUUGAGUGAAGUAGAGGCAGGCGGAAUUCCUAGUGUAGCGGUGAGAUGCGUAGAUAUUAGGAGGAACACCAGUGGCGAAGGCGGCCUGCUGGGCUUUUACUGACGCUGAGGCUCGAAAGUGUGGGGAGCAAACAGGAUUAGAUACCCCGGGUAGUC
rnacentral:rRNA from 1 species